rnacentral:rRNA from 1 species
CCCUUAGAUGUUCUGGGCCGCACGCGCGCUACACUGACCAGUGCAACAAGCAUCCGUCCUUGGCCGACAGGUUCGGGCAAUCUUUGAACGCUGGUCGUGAUGGGGAUAGACUUUUGCAAUUUUUGGUCUUCAACGAGGAAUUCCUAGUAAACGCAAGUCAUCAACUUGCAUUGAUUACGUCCCUGCCCUUUGUACACACCGCCCGUCGCACCUACCGAUUGAAUGGUCCGGUGAAGCCUCCGGAUUGGCGCGCACCUCGGUGCCGCCGAGAAGUUGGCUAAACCUUACCAUUUAGAGGAAGGUGAAGUCGUAACA